rnacentral:rRNA from 1 species
UACGUAGGGUGCAAGCGUUGUCCGGAAUUAUUGGGCGUAAGAGCUACGUAGGCGGUCUGUCGCGUCGGCUGUGAAAACCCGGGGCUCAACCCCGGGCCUGCAGUCGAUACGGGCAGACUAGAGUGCGGUAGGGGAGACUGGAAUUCCUGGUGGUAGCGGUGAAAUGCGCAGAUAUCAGGAGGAACGACCGGUGGCGAAGGCGGGUCUCUGGGCCGUAACUGACGCUGAGGAGCGAAAGCGUGGGGAGCGAACAGG